ensembl:lncRNA
UUUUUUUUUUUUUUUUUUUUUUUUUCUUUUUUUUCUUUUUUGUUCAGUCAUUUCUCCUCUCUAGUCAGGUUACUUUCUUGGCUGCUCACACCAAGUUCCCCACAGCCCUGGCUUGCCUUACUCGCACCCUGACCAACCCAGCCUUGGCCUGGCCACAUCAUGGCCACAUCUAUAAACCUGAAUUGCCAUUCUCUUGAAAACCAAACAAGCUUCUAGUUCACUAACACAUCGUUCAGCAUUCGCUAAAGGCAGCAUAAGGAUUUUCUGUGUAAUCAGCUUUACUGCUCAUUACACCUCUAGCUUCAAUACAGCCCAUUUAAUUGUUUAACUGCAAUUACAUUGUAAGCUAAUUGAAAUAUGGGAACACUAAACUUUUACUCAAUAAUUUUAAUAUUUUUAUUAUUAAUACUUAAUUGUAAGCAUCUAUUAAAUACUUAUUUUUACUAUGUAACACCUAAAGAAACUUGAUCUCUUAGCAGAAGUGAUGUUUAUUUAUAAUUUAUUUCCAUAAAUCAUUAUUGCAGAUGUGAAUGAAUGAAUGAAUAAGACCCUUUGAAAAGAGGAUCUAAUUAAUUCAGUGUUUUAUUCAAAAUAAUAUAAAAGUUGCUGUUUACACAAUGAGACAAAAAUAUAUGCUGAAGUUAACUAUAUGAAAAAAGAUGUUUUUGCUUUUUAGAGAAACUUCUAAACUUGUCUCUUUAUGUCUUCUCUUAACAUAGAAAUAUACUUUCUAACUAACUCCACAGCAGCGUUUGCCCCAAUUAAUCAUAUAUUUGCUGGAUAACCUUGGUUAGACAACAAUAUAAUGCAAAGAAAUUUGUCCCUGAAGUACUUCUUUUAAUUGUCAUAAAGCUACAGUACCAUCUGUAGGACAUAUACAUGUCAAAAUAUCUAAAUCCAGAACAUAAUCUAAGGAAGAGAAUAAAAAUUUAUUGUCCAAUGUGCUUUACCAGAGGUUUUUUUCCAGGGUAUUUAAUGAUAAACUAUUUCAGAGUUACUACCAGAAACAUGACAAAUCCUGCUCUUUUUCUAACACAUUCAGGUAAUCAGCUGCGGAAACCAUAUUAGGUUUAAGCCACUUAGCAGUACUUAUUCCCCACCUCCCUCCAAAAUGCUUUCCUGUAACAUUUUAGUCUAGAGUCAAAUAUAUAAAAAUGUCUCUAUUAAUAUCCUCCUAGACAAAUCUUCAGGGAAAUCAAUCUAUUUUAUUUGUAAAGUUUAGAAAAUCAUAGAAUCUGGAAUGGUCUGGGUUGGAAGGGACAUUAAAGGUUAUUUAGUUCCAAUGCCCCUACAAUGUGCAGGGACACCUUUCACUAGACCAGGUUGCUCAGAGCUCCAUACUCACAUCCAAUUUAAACCUCCAAUCUUGCAGUUUCAAGCCAUUCCUCCAUGUUCUGUCACUACAUGCCCCUGUAAAAAAAUCUUCCCCCAUCUUUCUUGUAGGCUACCUUCAGUACUGCAAAGCUGCAAUUAGGUCAUUCUGAAGUCUUUUCAAGGGUGAACAAUUCCAAUUCUCUCAACUUGUCCUCACAGAAAAAGUGCUCUGUCACUCUGAUCAUUUUUGUGGCCUCCUCUGGACUCGCUCCAGCAGUUCCAUGUCCUCCCUGUGCUGGGACCCCAGAGCUGAUGCAGGGUUCCAGGUGGGCUCUCACCCCCACUCAAUACAGUGCUACUAGCACUUGAAGCAGAGCAGAGGGGCAGAAUCCCCUCCCUCCCCUGCUGCCCACGCUGCUCUGGAUGCAGCCCAGGACACGUUUGGCUUUCUGGGCUGGGAGUGCCCAUGGCUGGGUCAUGUCCAGCCUCUCACCCAUGAGCAUCUCCAAGGCCUUCCAAGGUCUGUUCUCAAUCUCCCAGCCUGUGCUGACAGCAGGGGUGACCCCAGUCCAGGACCUCAUACUUGGUCUUGUUAAACUGCAUGAAAAUGAAGCUUUGUUGUUACUCUUCAAGGUUUGUGUUGGUUUUUAACCCCUGCUUUUUGAUUUCUUCUAUUUAAUGACUGAUGUCGUAGAUGUAUUAAAAAACCAUUUACAACUAGAUGUAUAGCUGUGUAACUUUGUGCUGCCCUCUGUGAAUUAUUGCUUGGCCAUAUUGAUUAGUUUGUUUCAUGGUUACAAAAUGUGCAGAAGGGCUGGCAGGUCAAACUGCCUCUCUGCAGGACCGUGAUUCCAGGAGCACCAAAUACCUCCAAACUUUGGUGAAAAGCUAACGCAGCCCAGCCUGGUGCAGUCUGCAGGAGUUCGUCCCAAGAAAUCACACAGAUAUUUAAUUUGGAUUUGAUAUUCAGCAAUUCUGCCCGCAACAGCGUCUCCCGGGACGACGCUUUCAGCACAGUCUCCUUUCCUUGAUCCCUGCGCGGAGCCGGCCAUGGUUCCUCCCCCCGG